CGCAUCUGUGCAUGCAGCAUAUCAAUAAGCGGAGGAAAAGAAACUAACAAGGAUUCCCCUAGUAACGGCGAGUGAAACGGGAAGAGCUCAAAUUUGAAAUCUUAAAGGGUUUCCCUUUACGAAUUGUAGUUUAAAGAAGUGUUUUCUGUUGAGGUUUUGGUAAAAGUUCUUUGGAAUAGGACAUCAUAGAGGGUGAGAAUCCCGUAUUUGACCUUUACUUUCAACUUUGUGAUACACUUUCAAAGAGUCGGAUUGUUUGGGAAUGCAGUCCAAAAUGGGUGGUAAAUUUCAUCUAAAGCUAAAUAUUGGCGAGAGACCGAUAGCGAACAAGUACCGUGAGGGAAAGAUGAAAAGAACUUUGAAAAGAGAGUUAAACAGUACGUGAAAUUGUCAAAAGGGAAGCGUUUGACACCAGUGUUGUUUUCUCUGAAAAUCAGUUAAAGAACUGUUUAUGCUAAGCUGUUUAGACUUUAUCAGCUAACUGUUUAGUUUUGAGCUUUUCUUUAAUGCACUUUUCAGUUAACAAGUCAACAUCAAUUUCUUUUGCUGUAAAAAAGCUUGAGGAAGGUGGCUUGAGAUUCGUCUUAAGUGUUUAUAGCCUCUUGCCUAUGCAGUCGGAGAGAUUGAGGUCUGCAGCGUAGAUCCUUCGGGGCUAAAUGCAUUUGUGCUAAGUUAUAACAUUUUAUAGACAACUUGUUGACUAUGAUUUGUCUUGUAGCUUACUCGCUUAUGUUAUUUUACCUACGCUUAGGAUGUUGAACGCGCACAGAGUCUC
rnacentral:rRNA from 1 species